GUGCUCGCUUCAGCAGCACACAUAUUGAAAUUGGAAUGACAGAGCAGAUUAGCAUGGCCCCUGCACAAGGAUGACACUCAGACUCCUGAAGUGUUCCAUAUUUUU